UUUCUUAAAGUAAAAUUUUACAUUUAAUUUCGACUUAAAAAAUGAUUAAACUAUAAUCUAAGAAAU
rnacentral:tRNA from 1 species